rnacentral:rRNA from 1 species
UGGGAUGUUAGCAGUUACUUGGAUAACUGAGGUAAUUCUUGAGCUAAUACAUGCGAAAAAUCCCGACUCACGAAGGGAUGCUUUUAUUAGAUCAAAACCAAACAGCUUCGGCUGUAACACUGGUGACUCUGAAUAACUUUGGGCUGAUCGCAUUGCCUUGAGCAGGCGACAUUUCCUUCGAAGGUGUGCCCUAUCAACUGUCGACUGUGAUAUAGACGCUCACAGUGGUUUUGACGGGUAACGGGGAUUCAGGGUUCGAUUCCGGAGAGGGAGCCUUAAAAACGGCUACCACAUCCAAGGAAGGCAGCAGGCACGCAAAUUACCCAAUGAACGAAGUUCGAGGUAGUGACGAAAAAUAACAAUACAAGACUCAUCCGAGGCCUUGUAAUUGGAAUGAGUACACUUUAAAACCGUUUCACGAGGAUCUAUUGGAGGGCAAGUCUGGUGCCAGCAGCCGCGGUAAUUCCAGCUCCAAUAGCGUAUAUUAAAGUUGUUGUGGUUAGAAAGCUCGUAGUUGGAUUUCGGCGGGUAUUGGUUGGUUUGAAUUGCUUCAACACUGACUUUUUUACCCGUGUGUUUUGCCAGAAUUUAGCGGGUGAUCUUCGCCGAUUGUCCGUUGGAACUGGUAGGUUUACUUUGAAAAAAUUAGAGUGCUCAAAGCAAGCUUACUGCUUGAAUAGUUGCGCAUGGAAUAAUAGAAUAGGAAGUCGUUUCUAUUUUGUUGGUUUUCGGAAAUCGACUUAAUGAUUAAUAGGGAUAGUCGGGGGCAUUCGUAUUCAAACGACAGAGGUGAAAUUCUUGGACCGUUUGAAGACGAACUAAUGCGAAAGCAUUUGCCAAGAAUGUUUUCAUUAAUCAAGAACGAAAGUUAGAGGUUCGAAAGGCGAUUAGAUACCGCCCUAGUUCUAACCAUAAACGAUGCCAGCUAGCGAUCUGCCGGCGUUUAAUUUUCUGACUUGGCAGGAGCCUCGAGGGAAACCAAAGCUUGUGGG